AACCUCCGCAAUGUGAGAAAUCGCGACGGGGGGAUCCCAAGUGCCAUUCUUAACGGGAUGGCUUUUCAUUAGUGUAAAAAGCUUUUAGAAUAAGAGCUGGGCAAGACCGGUGCCAGCCGCCGCGGUAACACCGGCAGCUCUAGUGGUAGCAGUUUUUAUUGGGCCUAAAGCGUCCGUAGCCGGUUUAAUAAGUCUCUGGUGAAAUCCUGUAGCUUAACUGUGGGAAUUGCUGGAGAUACUAUUAGACUUGAGACCGGGAGAGGUUAGAGGUACUCCCAGGGUAGAGGUGAAAUUCUGUAAUCCUGGGAGGACCGCCUGUUGCGAAGGCGUCUAACUGGAACGAUUCUGACGGUGAGGGACGAAAGUUAGGGGCGCGAACCGGAUUAGAUACCCGGGUAGUCCUAACUGUAAACGAUGCGGACUUGGUGUUGGGGUGGCUUUGAGCUGCUCCAGUGCCGAAGGGAGCUGUUAAGUCCGCCGCCUGGGAAGUACGGUCGCAAGACUGAAACUUAAAGGAAUU
rnacentral:rRNA from 1 species